AAUGGUAUAAUUUUUGGUAACAUCAAAAAUAGAUAACAUUAUCAUUGCAUACGCCAGAGUGAGUCAGUUGUCGUGCUUCAAAAUGCUUGAAAAUUUGGGACUUUUGAUUACUACUGGAAUAUGUUUCAUUAUUUAUUUAAUGUUCAAAUAUUUUAUGGAAGAGCGUAAUAAGCUAUUAGUAGAUUUGGAAAAUGCCCGAACAGCUGAACUGUUGAUGAAGGACGAAAUUAAAGAUAUAAAAAUUAAGGCCUGCGAAGAAAAAAUAAACGUCUUGGAGGAUAAAGUGUCGACUCUUAAUAAGCAAGUUAAAUAUAAUAAGGAGCAACUCAAGAACUCGAAGGAAGAAAGAUCGUGUCCAAUAUCUUGAUUUGUUAAGUGAGUCUUACCCGGGUUAACUGCUACCUUAAAUUAAUAUAUAUGAUUUGGCUAAUUG
rnacentral:misc_RNA from 1 species